GAGGUUAAGCGACUAAGCGUACACGGUGGAUGCCCUGGCAGUCAGAGGCGAUGAAGGACGUGCUAAUCUGCGAUAAGCGUCGGUAAGGUGAUAUGAACCGUUAUAACCGGCGAUUUCCGAAUGGGGAAACCCAGUGUGAUUCGUCACACUAUCAUUAACUGAAUCCAUAGGUUAAUGAGGCGAACCGGGGGAACUGAAACAUCUAAGUACCCCGAGGAAAAGAAAUCAACCGAGAUUCCCCCAGUAGCGGCGAGCGAACGGGGAGCAGCCCAGAGCCUGAAUCAGUGUGUGUGUUAGUGGAAGCGUCUGGAAAGGCGUGCGAUACAGGGUGACAGCCCCGUACACAAAAAUGCACAUACUGUGAGCUCGAUGAGUAGGGCGGGACACGUGGUAUCCUGUCUGAAUAUGGGGGGACCAUCCUCCAAGGCUAAAUACUCCUGACUGACCGAUAGUGAACCAGUACCGUGAGGGAAAGGCGAAAAGAACCCCGGCGAGGGGAGUGAAAAAGAACCUGAAACCGUGUACGUACAAGCAGUGGGAGCACGCUUAGGCGUGUGACUGCGUACCUUUUGUAUAAUGGGUCAGCGACUUAUAUUCUGUAGCAAGGUUAACCGAAUAGGGGAGCCGAAGGGAAACCGAGUCUUAACUGGGCGUUAAGUUGCAGGGUAUAGACCCGAAACCCGGUGAUCUAGCCAUGGGCAGGUUGAAGGUUGGGUAACACUAACUGGAGGACCGAACCGACUAAUGUUGAAAAAUUAGCGGAUGACUUGUGGCUGGGGGUGAAAGGCCAAUCAAACCGGGAGAUAGCUGGUUCUCCCCGAAAGCUAUUUAGGUAGCGCCUCGUGAAUUCAUCUCCGGGGGUAGAGCACUGUUUCGGCAAGGGGGUCAUCCCGACUUACCAACCCGAUGCAAACUGCGAAUACCGGAGAAUGUUAUCACGGGAGACACACGGCGGGUGCUAACGUCCGUCGUGAAGAGGGAAACAACCCAGACCGCCAGCUAAGGUCCCAAAGUCAUGGUUAAGUGGGAAACGAUGUGGGAAGGCCCAGACAGCCAGGAUGUUGGCUUAGAAGCAGCCAUCAUUUAAAGAAAGCGUAAUAGCUCACUGGUCGAGUCGGCCUGCGCGGAAGAUGUAACGGGGCUAAACCAUGCACCGAAGCUGCGGCAGCGACGCUUAUGCGUUGUUGGGUAGGGGAGCGUUCUGUAAGCCUGUGAAGGUGUGCUGUGAGGUAUGCUGGAGGUAUCAGAAGUGCGAAUGCUGACAUAAGUAACGAUAAAGCGGGUGAAAAGCCCGCUCGCCGGAAGACCAAGGGUUCCUGUCCAACGUUAAUCGGGGCAGGGUGAGUCGACCCCUAAGGCGAGGCCGAAAGGCGUAGUCGAUGGGAAACAGGUUAAUAUUCCUGUACUUGGUGUUACUGCGAAGGGGGGACGGAGAAGGCUAUGUUGGCCGGGCGACGGUUGUCCCGGUUUAAGCGUGUAGGCUGGUUUUCCAGGCAAAUCCGGAAAAUCAAGGCCGAGGCGUGAUGACGAGGCACUACGGUGCUGAAGCAACAAAUGCCCUGCUUCCAGGAAAAGCCUCUAAGCAUCAGGUAACAUCAAAUCGUACCCCAAACCGACACAGGUGGUCAGGUAGAGAAUACCAAGGCGCUUGAGAGAACUCGGGUGAAGGAACUAGGCAAAAUGGUGCCGUAACUUCGGGAGAAGGCACGCUGAUACGUAGGUGAAGCGACUUGCUCGUGGAGCUGAAAUCAGUCGAAGAUACCAGCUGGCUGCAACUGUUUAUUAAAAACACAGCACUGUGCAAACACGAAAGUGGACGUAUACGGUGUGACGCCUGCCCGGUGCCGGAAGGUUAAUUGAUGGGGUUAGCGCAAGCGAAGCUCUUGAUCGAAGCCCCGGUAAACGGCGGCCGUAACUAUAACGGUCCUAAGGUAGCGAAAUUCCUUGUCGGGUAAGUUCCGACCUGCACGAAUGGCGUAAUGAUGGCCAGGCUGUCUCCACCCGAGACUCAGUGAAAUUGAACUCGCUGUGAAGAUGCAGUGUACCCGCGGCAAGACGGAAAGACCCCGUGAACCUUUACUAUAGCUUGACACUGAACAUUGAGCCUUGAUGUGUAGGAUAGGUGGGAGGCUUUGAAGUGUGGACGCCAGUCUGCAUGGAGCCGACCUUGAAAUACCACCCUUUAAUGUUUGAUGUUCUAACGUGGACCCGUGAUCCGGGUUGCGGACAGUGUCUGGUGGGUAGUUUGACUGGGGCGGUCUCCUCCUAAAGAGUAACGGAGGAGCACGAAGGUUGGCUAAUCCUGGUCGGACAUCAGGAGGUUAGUGCAAUGGCAUAAGCCAGCUUGACUGCGAGCGUGACGGCGCGAGCAGGUGCGAAAGCAGGUCAUAGUGAUCCGGUGGUUCUGAAUGGAAGGGCCAUCGCUCAACGGAUAAAAGGUACUCCGGGGAUAACAGGCUGAUACCGCCCAAGAGUUCAUAUCGACGGCGGUGUUUGGCACCUCGAUGUCGGCUCAUCACAUCCUGGGGCUGAAGUAGGUCCCAAGGGUAUGGCUGUUCGCCAUUUAAAGUGGUACGCGAGCUGGGUUUAGAACGUCGUGAGACAGUUCGGUCCCUAUCUGCCGUGGGCGCUGGAGAACUGAGGGGGGCUGCUCCUAGUACGAGAGGACCGGAGUGGACGCAUCACUGGUGUUCGGGUUGUCAUGCCAAUGGCACUGCCCGGUAGCUAAAUGCGGAAGAGAUAAGUGCUGAAAGCAUCUAAGCACGAAACUUGCCCCGAGAUGAGUUCUCCCUGACCCUUUAAGGGUCCUGAAGGAACGUUGAAGACGACGACGUUGAUAGGCCGGGUGUGUAAGCGCAGCGAUGCGUUGAGCUAACCGGUACUAAUGAACCGUGAGGCUUAACCUUACAACGCCGAAG
rnacentral:rRNA from 1 species